UACGAAGGGGGCUAGCGUUGCUCGGAAUCACUGGGCGUAAAGGGUGCGUAGGCGGGUCUUUAAGUCAGGGGUGAAAUCCUGGAGCUCAACUCCAGAACUGCCUUCGAUACUGAAGAGCUCGAGUCCGGGAGAGGUGAGUGGAACUGCGAGUGUAGAGGUGAAAUUCGUAGAUAUUCGCAAGAACACCAGUGGCGAAGGCGGCUCACUGGCCCGGUACUGACGCUGAGGUGCGAAAGCGUGGGGAGCAAACAGG
rnacentral:rRNA from 1 species